GACGAACGCUGGCGGCGUGCUUAACACAUGCAAGUCGAACGGAAAGGCCUGCUUUCCCUUGUGGAUUGCGGGUACUCGAGUGGCGAACGGGUGAGUAACACGUGAGUGAUCUGCCCCCAACUUGGGUAUAAGCCUGGGAAACUGGGUCUAAUUCCCGAUAGGACUGCAGGGUGGUGCCGGUGGUGGAAAACGAUUUUCUAGUGGUUGGGGAUGAGCUCGCGGCCUAUCAGCUUGUUGGUGGGGUAAUGGCCUACCAAGGCGGCGACGGGUAGCCGGCCUGAGAGGGUGGACGGCCACAUUGGGACUGAGAUACGGCCCAGACUCCUACGGGAGGCAGCAGUGGGGAAUAUUGCACCAUGGGCGGAAGCCUGAUGCAGCGACGCCGCGUGGGGGAUGACGGCCUUCGGGUUGUAAACUCCUUUCGACCGCGAGGAAGCCACCUGGUUGGAAGGGUGGUGACGGUAGUGGUAGAAGAAGCACCGGCUAACUACGUG
rnacentral:rRNA from 1 species